ensembl:lncRNA
AGCGUUUGUAACUUGUGUUUACAUUAGUUGCUUAGAAUUUUACACUUGUCUUCUUGGUGGCUUAUUUAAUUGAUAAAUCCAAAAGGCAAUCAUCGUUAACAUCUGGGGAAGAUGUUGUCAAAAUUAAGAACAGUGCAAUCAAAAAGAGAACGCGACAGAGGCUUGUGCUAAUACAAGAGUAAAUAUCGGCGUGGUGACAGCUCCGAGAUCUGAAGAGAUCUGACGCAAAUACGGCUUUUUAAAUGCUGAACAGAUCCCUGUUUUUUCCAGAUCCAGGAGUGAGAGAGAAAGAGAGAGCAGGAGCUUUUUUCCUCGUCUCCACAGGGAGUGAAGAGAAAUACUGGAUCUGCAGUGUUUGGGAGCGAAUCGGUCUGGAAGCCAAACGAACCUGGCGUCACAUUGAUACAUCAGAAAUCAUAUCAUCAGCGAGAGGCUCAUUUUGCAUACUAACAGGAGAGGAGAGGGAGUCACACUUGUUCGAGAGGACACUCGUGGAAAGCCCACACAGCUCUCGGGCGCAGGCACCUGGAGGAUGUGAAUAUGAUAAGUUGUCACCUCGUCAUGGAGAUUCUCCAUUCGGCCUGGAGAGUGAGACAGUAAUAAUUUUACAGACCUUCACAGUUUCAAAAUAACUUUUAAUAUUAGAGCGGGGAAAAAAGCUGUUGAAUUAUAAACGCCCGCCGCUGCGGUUCUUUGACACCACCAUCUGUCUUUUUGAUGGAGAUGAGGAAAGAGAGAGAGAGGUACAGAGGUCAGCCCGUAACAUGGAGACGGCGAAAAAACCACAGCAGCUGCCGUAACGCCGAGACCGGAGAGUAUUUUCAUAUGCACUUCUCAUUGGGAAGCAAAUCAAACUGUGUGGUCGAUCUGAGGUGAAGGAAAGUCACUUAAAUUCUUAAACACAACAUGGGGCCUGACUGACUGCAUGUCACCUCUUUUUUCACACUGCAGAAACGGAAAACAUGUGAGAAGGAAUGGACGCCUCUGCAAUUGCUCCGACUUGGAUGCUGGCCUUCAUUUGUGUAGGAAAUGCCUGGUGUAAUGAUGCAAGUACACUUUCAUGAGAUGUAUUUACAAAACGAGCACCCCAAAAUGUUGUCAUUACCAGUGGGAACCUCUGGAUCGCUUUAAAGCCACUUUCUGAGGUUCAGAGUCAAUUAAAGAAUCAUGGUGAAAGCAAAUGGUUUCAGCAAUUGCUAAAACAGAAUAGUUCAUCCAGAAAUGAAAAUUCUGUCAGCA